UACGUAGGGCGCAAGCGUUAUCCGGAGUUAUUGGGCGUAAAGAGCUCGUAGGCGGUUUGUCGCGUCUGCCGUGAAAGUCCGGGGCUCAACUCCGGAUCUGCAGUGGGUACGGGCAGGCUAGAGUGCGGUAGGGGAGAAUGGAACUCCUGGUGUAGCGGUGGAAUGCGCAGAUAUCAGGAAGAACACCGAUGGCGAAGGCAGUUCUCUGGGCCGUAACUGACGCUGAGGAGCGAAAGCGUGGGGAGCGAACAGG
rnacentral:rRNA from 1 species